rfam:Dipodomys ordii contig_68231, whole genome shotgun sequence.
UUCUGUGGCCACACCACCCUGAAUGUACUCAAUCUCAUCUGAUCUCAGAAGCUGAGCAGGGUCAGGCCUGGUUAGCAAUUGAAUGGGAGACAAUUAGUGUGAGAACUUCUGUAUACUUUAGGAU